GCAGAACGGAUCGUGUACCGACAGCCGCCUAUAGGCCUGGAAUAUGAAGUAGCGUGUUGAGUCAUUUACAAAUGGUUUCAUUUGGACGCAACUAUUCUUGAAACGAAUCCAGGGAAGACAGGUAAAAAAAAGAUUGUUUUGGUACGUGUGGACGUGGCCUC